AGUGGCAUGCCUUCUGUUCUCUGGUGGUACACGUGAAAUACAGGAUUUCACUGAACAAAUCAGGAUUGCUGACAGGGGGUUCAUGAAGAGUUCUUAUGUGACCGACUUACACAGCUGUAAAGUUUAUUUUCAAGGAAGAUCCUCCUGGCGUUAGUUCUUAAAAGAUACAAUUAAAAUAAGAGCAACUGUCAAAAACUACAUCGUGUUUUUAACAUAUUUUUAAUAAAGGGCAUCCCCUC